CUGGACGUUCGGUCCCGUGGUCUUCAGAAGCCUUUGAACUCCCCCUGGAGUCAUUCCACUUUGGUGUCUGUGUGACAACUUCCUGGAUAGAUUCACUCCUGAAGGAGAUAAAAUUCCCCUUAGUUAGACUCUGGACUUGUUUUUGGGUGUAGAAAAUGUGUCCCCAUAAUUAAAGUCAGCCCAGGUCAUUUUGGGAUUCAGAAUGCUGCUGAAUUUGAGGACGAAACCUGACAGAGAGCAACUAACCAUAGGAGGAAAAUGUUACGACUCCCAUUUUCCAGAAGAGAAAAUUGAGUCUCAGGUUAAGAAACUCUCCAAGUUCACACGGCCAGAAUGUGUUGGGGGUGGAUUGAAGUCCAGAUCCAGUAGAAAACUAAUGAGAAUUUAAUCUCUGCUGAGCAGAGGAGGAAAAACCCAGCUGAAUGCAGGGAUGGCCACAGGACGGUCAGCGAGUGAAUUAGGAUGCUUUUGUUUAUGGCCUGAGUGUGGGCUUCAAUUGGGGGCUGUGCUCUGGCUGCCAAAAUAGGGUCAUGAAUGGAACUAGCAUUGCUUUUUCUAUGGAAAUGUCAGUUUAUGAGACACCCCGUGGACUUUGCCCUCCCUCUGGAUCGGGCUUCAUGGACAGGCAGGGCAGAACUGCUGCAGCCUUUGCAGAGAUACCAACCAUUCCUCCCUGUGGCCCAGCUGCUGCCGGCGUGAAGGCGUCCCUGGAUGUCGUGGAACUCAAGAUUUGUCUUUCCUCUUCGGAAGAACAGAUCAACCUGGAGCGAACGUUGUGCCCACCCUCUCAGGCUCUUGUUCUAAGGACCACAGGAUUGCUGGGACUUGGGGAAUUAUUCAGGAAGCUUCUACUCUGAGAAACCUUUGCUCAGUGGAGGCAGUAGCAAUUAAUUUGCCCAUUCAGCCAGCUGCUUUUAAUUGGGCACCUACUAUGUCCCAUCCACAGUGCUAGGAACGGGGGGCACGGCCUGGAAGAGAACAGAUGUAGAUCCCCCAGGAAGCUUGAACACUCUUUGAUCUGGACAAAGUGUUUUUACAGCUGUGGUCACAGCUUGUGCCCACAGCAAGUAUGUGGGGGAGGCAAGGAUUGGUUAUCCCAUCUUCCAGAUGAAGAAACUGAGGCUGGAGAAGGCAAAGUGACUUGCUGACAACAUAAGGAAGUGACAUAACUUGCCUGAAGUUGCCUGGUUUAUUGAUAAAGGUGAGAAAAAAAUAAGAAAAGUAGAAACACUCUCUACUACUCCACUAAUUUUCAGAUGUGAAAGAGAAGAAACUUCAGGACCUCAGAAUAUAACCAGAUUUGGAGAUCAGGUCUUUACCUAAUCAUUGGGGUGGACCCCAAUCCACUAUGACUGGUGUUCUCCUAAGAAGAGGAAAUUUAGACACAGACAUGUACAGAGAGAAGACCAUGUCAAGACACAGGAGAAGAUGACCCUCUAAGCCAAGGAGAGGAGCCUGGAACAGAGCCUUCCCUCACAGCCUCAGAAGAGACCAACCCUGCUGACACCUCGAUUUCAGACUCCCAGCCUCCAGAACUGUAGAAAAUAAAUUUCUUUUGUUUAAGCCACCCAAUCUGUGGUACUUUGUUACGGCAGCCCCAGCAAACAGCAUGUGCCAGACAUUCCUUCUUUUUUAUGGCUGAAAAAUCUUCGAUUAUAUGGAUAGACCGCAUUUUGUUUAUCCAUUCAUCUGUCGAUGGACACUUGGGUUGUUUCCAUCUCCUGGCUACUGUGAAUAAUGCUGCUUUGAAUAGUGGUGUGCAAGUAUCUGCUUGAGUCUCUGCUUUCAAUUAUGUUGAGUAUAUGCCCAGAAGGAGAAUUGCUGGAUCAUAUGGUAAUUCUGUUUAACUGUUUGAGGAAUUGCCAAACCAUUUUCCGCAGUGGCUGUGCCAUUUUAAGUUCCUACCAGCAAAGCACAAGGGUUCCAAUUUCUCCACAUCAUUGCCAACGCUUGCUAUUCUCCUUUUUAUUUAUUUUUUGAUAUGUUUGUUUUUUAAUACUUGUUCAGCCAGAGGCAUUAACAUCAACAAGGAGCUCCACUUCUGGGAUGGCGGAGGAGGCUCCUAACAGGCUGAUCCUCCCUCAGAGAACAGCUGUAAACUCUGGAUACAAUAUGACAGUCAGGACCCAAAGGCUCCAGAAAGUGCACUAAAGUGAGCAGAUUUUGAAGCAGGUCAAAACGUGAAAGAAGGGCCAAACACCGAGUAGUUUCCAAUUUUUACGGCUUUAGCUUGAAGGCAGGGUGCGAUGACAAUUUUUCCCGAAUUGGUCAAUGAAUUCAACACAAUCCCAAUCAAAAUCUCAGCAGGAACUUUUGUAGAAACUAAUGGUCUAAUUCUCAAGUUUGUGUGGAAAUGCAAAUGAUCUAGAGUCAACCAAAACAAUUUUGGAAAAGAACACAGUUGGAACGCUUACACUACCUGGUCUCAAGGCUUGCUAUAAAACCACAGCAAUCAAGACAGUGUGGUAUUGGUGAAGGGUGGAUGUAUGGAUCCGUGGAACAGAAGAGAGUCCAAAAUAGACGCACACACAUAUGAUCAACUGAUUUUCAACAAAGGUGCCAAAACAAUUCAAUGGAGAAAAAAUAGUCAUUGCAUUCUUUGGCCAAAACAGGUCACAAGAGUAGUCGAGAAUCAAGGAAUAGGGAAAUAGCUCUACCUGUUGAUGGAAUGGGGAUGGGAGGGGCAGCAACAUCACAUUGCAAGGGGUGUGGAGACAGGCAGACAUGAACGACUGGAUUCAUUUUGGAAUCUACCACCCCAGGCAACCCGGAUGAUCCUUUGGGACCCCUCAUCAGACAACAGUGCUUGUCCGCCCAGGGUUCAGCUCAAAGGCCACCUCCUCUGAGAAGCCUUGCCAGAUGGCUCUGUCUCGUGGUGACGCCCAAUUACCGUUUAUUACACUGCCCCUGUUCAGCUCCUUCACAGCUCUUCCACAGUCUCCUUCAUUUCUUUCUCCAUUUGCUCAUUGUGUGUCUUCCCCAUCAGGACGUGAUUCUAGUUUAAGAUGGCUUUGAAGUAAGUGAAAAUAAUUGAGGCUGGAAAGGUAGCCAGAGACCAGGCCAUGAAGGACCAGAAUGCCCCAGUAAGGAGUUUAGACAUUAAGUUGUAGAAAAACAGAGGAUGAAGUUUAGAACAAGGACGUGACCCAGUAAAAUUGAUAUAUUCUAACAAGACUGCUGAGGCGAGGGCCUUGGAGUAGAAGUCUUUGGGAGGUGGUGUGAAGGGAGAAUCGGAGAGGCGGAGCACAGGGCCGAGUGCAGUCCAUCGGAGGGCGGCUGUGAUGGUCUGAGUGAGCGUGGACGGCCUGGGAGAAGGGGUCAGCGUGGAUUGGGAGGCAGGUCCCCGAAGGCUGAUAAGGCCGGACCUUCUGACUUUUCAACAGAGUACGGACAUUUAGAUGUUCUCUGUGGAAUCUCAUAAGUUUUCAUUGUUGGCAGCUAAUGAAAAUGCUUCAACUGGGCUGUGGCCUGAGCCCCACUGGACGGCCCCUCUGCCAAGCAUAAUAUAAUCAUGAUUUCACAGGCGUAAUUAUAACUUCACUUGAAUGCCUGGAAUCCAGGUUGUUGCUCUGAAUGGCUUGUGUGUGCAACCCAAGAUCCAGCACCCGGGAGACAAGGUCAGGAGGUGGGAGGGCAAGGAGCAGGAUGGGAAUGUGAGCCCCCUGGGGAGUCGGAGGCCCAGCUCUCCGCCCUCACUGGGAGGAACCUGGGAUUCUAACCCAUGACGAGGGGUCAAGGCGCAGCUCUGCCACUUCCUCGCUCUGGGAGCUUGGGCAAGCUGCUGCUUCAUUUCAGUGUCUUCCCCUGCAGAACGGGAAUAGUAACCCCUGCUUCUCAGAGCUGGUUGGCGGAGAAAACAAGAACAUGUAAUUACUUAUAUGGUGACAACCUUGAAGCACGUGCAGUUCUGUACCCUCUGCCUGAACGAAUUCACUUAACACUCACAACAAUUCUAUGAGGUCAUCAUUAUGCAUUUCUUUUUCAUAUGGGGAAACUGAGGCACAAAGAAGUUAAAUAACUUGUCCAAGUCUAAUGGCUAGAAAGUGGCAGAACAGGAUUCAACGCAGGCUUCAAGAUCCACAGUCCCACCUACUAUGCUGUUCUCCUGGAUGUGAAGCUUUCUGGCACUUAGUAGGCCCUCAGCGAAGUUAUUAAUUUGUUCAACUGAUAGUUAUUAUACAGCUCCUGUGUGCCAGGCUGUGGGCUAAGCUCUGGAGGUGGAGCAGUGGAUGGGAUAGACAUGGCUCCUGCCCUCGUUUGAUCUUUGUUGAGGGUUUGCUGACUGCCAGGCUCUGUGUUUGGGGUAGAGGACUGCAUUAAAAUGUAGGUUUUAUUAUUAUCCAUGUAUGAUGAGGCCAACAGAUCAUGAGAUGACUGCCAUUGAAAGAUAGUUCAUUACUCACAGGUUCCAAGAGGAGGAGCAUGCCACACUUUGGGGGCCACAUGGGUGAGCACAGGCUGGGUCAGGAGGCAGAGGGAGCGAGGGGAAAGCCUGGGCAGGAGGCUUUAUCGUGGGUUUUUCAGGAGGAACGGGUGGAGGAGGGUAAGCAUUUGGGAUUGGAUAGUUUGGAUAAUUUCGGCAGGCUCUGGGCUAUAGGGGUGGUCCUUGUCGUCCGGUACCUGGCCUUGCUGUGGGUUAGGGCAGGGGGAUUGUGUCCUGAACUGCAGGAGCUUGGUAAUAGGAGGCGAUGGGGGCAUGGACUCAGAUCGGAUGGUUUGCAUGUCAAAGGUGUGUGUUUGUUGCUAUCUCUAAGAAUGGGCUAGCCCUGGGAGAGCAGUCCCUCCCAUCACUGAGGCCCCAGAUGCCAGAGCAUCAAGAAUACAGAAAAGAAGAAGUGAUAGUUAAUACAGAGACACAUUCUCUGGUGUGGAACAGACACGGUUCUGCCAGGAGGGGAGGAGUCAUGUAGGUCAUAAAUGUUAGUGAACACACACAGGAGUUCUUUUCUUGGUCAUUCCUUUAUCAAACAUUUAUUCAUUCAUUCAGCACAUAUUUACUGAGUGCCUGCUCUGUGCCAGGCACUGAUCAAGGUCCUGAAGGUAUGGGCGAUAGAGCACAGACAAGGCCCCUGCUCCGUGAAGCUGACAUUCUAGUAGGGGAGACAAUGAGUAAGUAAACAAGAAAAUAAAUGAGGCACGCUCCUACCAUGAGAUCUUGUACAGAGACAAUAAGGCAUUGAGAUUAUUAAAUAGUAAGAAAUAUGUAUAUAUAUUGGUCCCUGCCCUCCGUUCCUAAUACAGAGCUCCUGAAUCCCUUGGAAUUUCCUGGGUGAGCGGAGCAUCUUUUGUUCCAAGGAGGUGACUCUUGGUGGGCUCCCGGAUUUGCACUGGUCACCAGAAAGACCAAGCCAUAAUAAGAAACUUAGAACUUUCAGCCCUGCCCCCAUUUCACAGAGAGGGGAGAGACGCUGGAAAUUGUGUUAACAAUCAGUCAUGUCUAAGUGAUGACGCCUCCCUAAAAAUCCCAAAAGUAUGGGGUUGGAGGGCUUCCAGGUUGGUAAACACAGCCACACACCAGGAGGGUGGUGCACCCCAGCUCCACAGGACAGAAGCUCCUAUACUCAGAACCUUCCAGAUCUCACCCUAUGUGCCUCUUCAUCUGGCUGUUCACUGUAUCCUUUAUCACAUCCUUUAUGAUAAACUUGUAAAUGUAAAUCAGCCAUUCUAGGAAGUUAUCAACCCCACGGAGGGGGUCGUUGGAACCCUGAUCUAUAUCCAGUUGGUCAGAAGUACAAGUGACAACCUGGGACGUGCAAUUGGUGUCUGGAGUAGGGGCAGUCUUGUGGGACUGAGCCCUUAGCUUGUGGAGUCUGCACUGACUCUGGUUAGUGCCAGAACCGCAUUGAAUUGUAGGACACCCAGCUGGUGUUGGAGAAUUGGUCAGUGCGGGAAAAACUCCACACACCUGGUCACAGACGUGUUCUGUGCGUAGUGAGUAGUAGAAAACAGAGUUGCCCUUUAGUUGGCGUAGAGGACUUUUUCCCUUAUAGGGAUAUAACAUAGAUUGACUGGGGAUGGGGCCUUUCAGAUAAGGUGGUCAGGGACGGCCUCUCUGAAGAGGUUACACUUGAGUUAAUGCUGGAAGGCAAGACAGAGCCAACCACGUGACGAUCUGGGGAAGGAAGGAGCAUCCCAUUGCACGGCAAGUGCAGAGGUCCUGAGCCUGAAAAAGGCUUUGUGUGCUCCAUCUCAGGCACCAGAGCAGGGCCUGUAUGGCUGGAGCAUAGGGAGG
ensembl:lncRNA